UUUCAGGGAAGAUAACUUUGUCCAGUUCUGCUACUGAAUGGAAGUGAUGCUAAUGAACACUCUGAGAAA